UGCUGAAGCCAAGAGGCAGGUAGCAG
rnacentral:misc_RNA from 1 species